UCAACAUUUUACACUCACUUACCAUAUUGGCGUUAUUAAUCGUUGUGUUGGAAAAUAAUUUUUUAAUGAACUAGCUGGUGGAGAAACAUCCUCUAUAUUGUUGAGCAAAGGAUACUACUUACAAUCGUUUAAUUCUACUAUCAGCCUCAGUUUAAUAUUAAAAAAAAAAAAACUUUGUGCAUGUGAUAAGUGUGUGUACAGUUACAACUCCUAUUUAGGUGGUGGUGCAACCAUUAUUGGAUUUUAAAAUCUGAGUAGUUAAGAAUUACUUGUUAGAAUUUUUUUGGCAUCUUGUUUGAUAUGACCUUGAUUUUAUUUUUUCCUUUUUUUUUUGGGAAGGGGGAGGCAAGGAGGUACAAUGGUGAAAUUGUUCUGACCUCCUUUGCAAAAGACAAGGAGUAAUUUCAUGUAAUUGAAUAAUAUAGAUAGUGUUGUGGGAAUUUCUAUUCAUUAACAAUUAUUAUAAGUUAUUUAUCUGUUGUAAGCUUUCUUAUUUUUCAUAAAAAGCGAUUUAAUAUGAAAUUUAAGUUUUAAAGAACUUACGGAAUUAUACUCCAGAUCUGCGUGACGGUCACCGCGGAUUUGUUUGGCGGCCGCCACCUGUGGAGGCUAGCUCCAGCAGACUCAAAUCUCUUUUUUUAUUUUUGUUCAUUUCUUUGUUUUAUUUUUUGAAAACACUUCUCCAUUUUUUGAUUUUCAAAAACACUUAUUAAUUUACCAAACAAAUUUUCUUUUGUGGAUCCCACACAACACAUUUUCAAAUGUGGUCCCCGCCAAAAUAAUUCUCAGUUUUCUUUUGAAAACCCAAAACCUUACUUUCCUGCCUCAAGAGUCUAAAGUGUGACUUGGGUAUUGUGUAUUCUUUAGAGAACUUAAAGGUACCAUACAUAAGUGUGGUUGGGGUGGGUGAUACGAGUUCAUCCAUGCUUGUCAAAAGGUUUGAUCAAUAAGUAGAAUACACUUUCAAGUAUAUCAGUCUGUUGCAUACGAUUACCGUCAUACCCCUGAUCAGAUAUUCUAUAAUCACUACUUUCGGGAGAUUUUAUUAUUAUAUCCACAGAAGAAUGGAGAUGCGUACUGUAGAGACAUUCUACACCUAUUUUCUUGUUAUGGUUUUCAGAAGAUACUUAUAUUCUCUCCUUGAGACUUGCAAUAAGAUUGGUACCUUUGAAAGUUCAUUGUAACAGAUAUAUUUAGCAACUUCAAGGGCUUUGUGCCGAGGCUUUGCCUGAAGUUUGGAUUCUGGAUUGUACCACCAUGAGAUUGAAUAGUGAGUCAAUACUUCAAAUUCUACCUCUCCUUAUCACUCUUUCAUAGGUGUCCUCAAGCUACCAUUGAUGCCUCCCAAAGGUUCAUUGGCAUAAGCGACCCUCAUACUAGCCAUUCCAUCUGGCAAAAGACACUGCAAACUACAAGCACCGUAAAGUUAAAGAGUGCAGCGUCAUACUCUCAACAAAAGGGACAAUUUGUUUGAUGCAAUCGACGUGGCUUCUUCAGCUAAAGCAAGCGUCCGAACUCUAGCGGGGUAACUGUUGUGGGUUGAAGGAAAUUUUGGUAGUGUUGUAGCCUGUUUCAGCUAGUAAAAAAGGUAUUACCUUGUUUUACGCUAUGUGGCUUGGUAUUGUUGCACCUGUCUUUUACCAGAAGAGGAUUUUAUUGUCUUCACUGUGAAAUGAUGAAAUGCUAGUCUUACUCUAUGUUGACAUAGAUAUGUGAUUCUCUUCCCCUUUCCCCCGCAUUGAAUAGAAAAAGAAAAAGAAAAAAAGA